CACAACUUUGGCGGUAUCAGGCCUUGGGCGGAAUCCUUUUGUCCAUCUUCCUCUUGCAGCUGCUAUACCAGGGUUCCCCAUUAAAGGGGUUUCUGAAGGGAGGCUUUGACCGUACGCUGAAAGGUCGUCAUUGCUCUCCCCUGCGGCGGCGGCAUAACGGGGGCGGCUAUCUCUGCUUGAACAUAUGUUCUCCAGAGCCGGCCCAUCCCCCACACAAACACUGGAUAACCCUGAUGCUCCCUAG